rnacentral:rRNA from 1 species
CCCUUAGACGUUCUGGGCCGCACGCGCGCUACACUGACCAGUGCAACAAGCAUCCGUCCUUGGCCGACAGGCCCGGGCAAUCUUUGAACGCUGGUCGUGAUGGGGAUAGACUUUUGCAAUUUUUGGUCUUCAACGAGGAAUUCCUAGUAAACGCAAGUCAUCAACUUGCAUUGAUUACGUCCCUGCCCUUUGUUCACACCGCCCGUCGCACCUACCGAUUGAAUGGUCCGGUGAAGCCUCCGGAUUGGCGCGCACCUCGGUGCCGCCGAGAAGUUGGCUAAACCUUACCAUUUAGAGGAAGGUGAAGUCGUAACA